ensembl:lncRNA
GGCGCAUUAGGCCGACGGUUCAAUAUGCCGAAUAGGCCUACAUAUAAAGAGUUUUAUACCUCGCUCGCGCUCUCUCUCGCUCUCACUCGGCAGGCCCCAGAGCUCAUACCAGGGGUCCAUGCUACAGCUCAGUAAUAAAGUCUAGGCUAGUCUUCACGGAAGCCUUGUUUUGCUUCACAUUGUAGAAACCAUGUUGACAUGAAAGCACGUUGUGGCUGCAAAUCGUUUGGCUAUGCAACGCUUCGAUUAUGCCAUGGAGCGACAGGGAAAUGGCACUCGCUCGUCUUCCAUAAGGAGUAACCGACAGGGCCGCCAAGUCUUCAGAAAACCUUGGAAGGCGCAGAGCAGCAAUCACGGCGAUGCGUGUCUUGCACGUAGUCGCGUCGAAAACUGCAAGCUAACAGCUGACCCAUGAAUGUCCGGUGAAAGCAACUUUUCCCUCUCAAUUUCCCCUCGUCUUGCACCCUUGGCAAGCGGAGCGAGGUAUGUUGGUUUAUUGUAAGCCUUUAGUGUGAUUAUGUUUAAUUUUGGUGUCUUUAUGUAAGUGAAGCAAAUAAUGCACACGUUUAAGUUUUCUUUGUUGUGCUGAAAUAUGUUUUCUAUAAUAUGUCAUUCUUAAAUUUCCUGUAUUGGAAUAAUAUUUGAAUUCAAGUGAAUAUUGUAAAGGUCUUUCAGAUGUUUAUGCAGUUUGCACACAAAUUAAUGUUCUUAAGACUAGUGUCACUUUCUUUUAUUUGUGAACAUGGAAAUUGUACUGCACUGAUGUUAAUAUAUUUGUGUAAAAGUGUAACCAUUUUGUGUUACUUGUUCUAGUUUCACGUUGCUGUAUCAACAAAAGAAUUCUCCAAUAAAAGGUUGCACCCGUCAGAGACUCUCCGGUUCUUUCGAUGUCAAGGGCUGCUACAGAAUACAUUUGUAUAGGCUAGUAGGUGGGCCCUUAACUAUGAUUAUUGCAGUUAUCCCUUGAUGACCUACUUACGCCACUGUCAACUUGCCAUAUUUUAUGACAAUGAAAAGCAAUUGACGUUGCCCUCGUUAUUUAGGUAACUUCCAAAAUUACAAUUAUAGACAACAAGGUUCUAUUAUUGAAGAGGUUUGUAUAAUAGUGAAAUAGUGCGUAAUUAAAGUGAGAAAUAGGUGUGAGAA